GGGGUUGUGGCUCAGCGGUAGAGUGCUCGCCUAGGGCAUGUGAGGCCCUGGGUUCAAUCCUCAGCACCACA
rnacentral:tRNA from 1 species